ACUUAUAUAGUAUAAUAAUUAUAUUUGACUUCCAAUCAAAAGAUCUAAUUUCCUAGUAUAAGUA
rnacentral:tRNA from 1 species